CCAGCCUCACUGAUGCUCUGCCCACUGCCCAGUUGCUCUGCAAGCAGUCCUGAGGCUGGGUUUUGGUUUUAUUUAUUCCAUUUCAUAAAAUAUUCAAAUUUGAAAAAAAGACCACAAGCCAUAAAAAUUACAAAUACCCAAAGAUAUUUUCAGAUAACAACAUUUCCCUUUUGCUCCUGCUGGGCAGGGUCGCUGCCCUUUCAGCUCAUGGUGCAGCAGUUUCCAUUCUGAGGUGUGAUGUUCUCAGGUCAGAACUGGACACAGGAAACUGUCCAAAAUAGGGGCCUCCUAAGCCUGGUUCAUGGACCACUAGCAAGCUCCCCUCCAAGUUGCAGGAGGGCUGGAACUGCAGAAAGCUGAGAUAAGAGCCCUACCCCUUCCUUGGCGUGGUGAACGCGAUAUGAAGAAUGAAGAGGAACUCAAGGAUCUCCUCUGCUGGUACCCUUGACUGCAACCCAGUUCUGCUUUCUGAAUUAGAAAGUUGAAUGUGAAACGGAUUAACAUAAAACCCUACAGAAAAGGGCAAGUGGCAUUUCUGACGUGCCUGAGACACCCGUGCCCAUGUGACUCACAGUUCAUGACUCGUGGAGUGAUGCCAUUCGUAAG